GAUUGAACGCUGGCGGCAGGCCUAAGUGUUGCAAGUCGAGCGGAAACGAGUUAUCUGAACCUUCGGGGAACGAUAACGGCGUCGAGCGGCGGACGGGUGAGUAAUGCCUAGGAAAUUGCCCUGAUGUGGAGGAUAACCAUUGGAAACGAUGGCUAAUACCGCAACGCGCCUACGGGCCAAAGAGGGGGACCUUCGGGCCUCUCGCGUCAGGAUAUGCCUAGGUGGGAUUAGCUAGUUGGUGAGGUAAGGGCUCACCAAGGCGACGAUCCCUAGCUGGUCUGAUGAGGAUGAUCAGCCACACUGGAACUGAGACACGGUCCAGACUCCUACGGGAGGCAGCAGUGGGGAAUAUUGCACAAUGGGCGCAAGCCUGAUGCAGCCAUGCCGCGUGUGUGAAGAGCUAGCUCGGGUUGUAAAGCACUUUCAGUCGUGAGGAAGGUAGUGUAGUUAAUAGCUGCAU
rnacentral:rRNA from 1 species